rnacentral:rRNA from 1 species
UACGUAGGUGGCAAGCGUUGUCCGGAAUUAUUGGGCGUAAAGCGCGCGCAGGCGGUCCUUUAAGUCUGAUGUGAAAGCCCACGGCUCAACCGUGGAGGGCCAUUGGAAACUGGGGGACUUGAGUACAGAAGAGAAGAGUGGAAUUCCACGUGUAGCGGUGAAAUGCGUAGAGAUGUGGAGGAACACCAGUGGCGAAGGCGACUCUUUGGUCUGUAACUGACGCUGAGGCGCGAAAGCGUGGGGAGCAAACAGG